AUACACCACUAUUAGCUAGGGCUGGGACAAUAAAUCGAUGCAUCGUGAAUCGAGAAAUUAUUCUGCAUAGAUUCUGAGAUUUUUCAAAGGCAUCACGAUUCUCUCUUGAAUCGACUCUGAGUUUAGUUUUUAAUAGCAGAUGGCACUGCGUGCUUUAGAAAUAGCCGUAUUCUGCUUGCUUCCAGUUCCUUACA